ACAUAGGUGGCGAGCGUUAUUCGGAAUUACUAGGCGUAAAGCGAGUGUAGGCGGGCGCUUAAGUCCGUUGUGAAAUCUCCCGGCUUAACUGGGAGGGGUCAAUGGAUACUGGGUGUCUUGAGUGUGGUAGGGGGCAGUGGAAUUCCUGGUGUAGCGGUGAAAUGCGUAGAUAUCAGGAGGAACACCUAUGGCGAAAGCAGCUGCCUGGGCCAUUACUGACGCUAAGACUCGAAAGCUAGGGGAGUAAACAGGAUUAGAUACCCUGGUAAUCCUAGCUGUAAACGAUGCUGACUAGGUGUGGGAGGUAUCGACCCCUCCCGUGCCGCCGCUAACGCAUUAAGUCAGCUGCCUGGGGAGUACGGCCGCAAGGUUA
rnacentral:rRNA from 1 species